rnacentral:lncRNA from 1 species
UAGAGGUCCCCUCCACAUCAUAUGCAUAAGCCCUUUUUCUUCAUUCAUUAAUUUACGGAAGGGAAAAUUAAUACUAUUAUUCUCAUAAAAAGUGGGAAUACCAAGGAAAGAGAUCCUCUCCACACCAUAUAUUUUUCUUUUCUGAGUAGUUAUAUCCAAUGGAGAGAGGAAAACAAGAGCACCAAUGGUCGCAGGUUCACCGGAGAAAAUGAAGGUGCAGUGGUGAUGUGAGUUUAGGGUUAUUGGGUGUAAAGAUAACAACUUUAAUAUUUAUUUUCUCAUUUUUAUUUAUUUAAGGGCAAAUUUGAAAGUUUAGUAGAGAAAAUUUGUUAGUUGGGUGUAGAGAUAAAAAGGUUGGGUCCAACAAAAUUUCUCAUAAAGUUUAAUCACGCGAUUAAGUUCUUGUGCAAUGAGUAAAUUGUAGCAAUGACCCAUCAACUAAAAAUCCAUUAUUAUUGAUCCCUCAACUCAUCAAAAUAUGUAGUUAUGGUCAUUUUCGUCAACUUUGUAAGAAUUUUGUCAAAAUAAAUUAUGUUGGAAGGACCAUUGUUACAAUUAAGGUCCUUCAACUCAUCAAAACAUGUAGCUAUGGUCAUUUUCGUCAACUUUGUCAAAAUGAGUUAUGUUGGCAUGACCAUUAUUGCAAUUGGGUUAAAGUUGAGGAAUCAUUGCUCCAAUUGGGUUAAAGUUGAGGGAUCAUUUCUCUAGUUAGAUUAAAGUUGGGGGACCAAUGAUAAUUAAGUUUUAGUUAAGGGAUCAUAGUUGCACGUUUUGAUGAGUUGAGAGAUCAAUGAUAAUGAAUUUUUAGUUAAUGGAUCAUUACUCCAAUUGAGUUAAAAAUAAAGGACCAUUGCUACAAUUUACUCUUGUGCAAUAGAAGAUUAAUUUGGCCGAACAACCUGAUUAAGGUGCCUACUUUCUCUUUAAUUCAUUGGUAUCAUUUAUUUUCCCUUAAGCUGAAUUAUGCUCAAUUUAUGUAUCAAUAUUGUAAAGUUGUCUUUGUUAGAGUAAUUUGGACAAUAUAAAUUGAAAAUUAUUUGUGUAUAUGGAAAAGAUUAACCUCAGGGGUCACUUCGCCGGACUCCGUAGCAAUCUCCACCACUCCAAUCGUAAUGGUGAGUAAAUCACUUGUGUUUGUUUCCAUUUUUUCAAUUGGAAAUUGGGGGUUUUGAAUUCAUAUUUUGUCAAUUGGUUUUGUGAGCACUGAGAAUACACUACGAGCUUGUGUGUGUGUACAAUAUGUUGGAUUUGAUCUUUAUAAAGAAUGCGAGAAAUUGGGGUUAGGAAAGAGAAGAAAAGGAAACAGAACUCGAACUUCGAUCUUCAUUCUUGUUACUAAAGGAGAAAACCGAAUUUGAACCGGUUCAUACGUAAUCGAACCGAAUUUGUAUAGUUCGGUUCACCCCUUAGUACCGAACCGUACCAUACCAAAAAAAAUUUCUUGAGUUUGGUUUUGAUACAUCCCUCAUACUGUACCAUACCAAAUCGUGGCCAGACCUACUGAAUACAAAACUUAUAUCUGGGUCGUAAGUCGUAAGGCCUCCAAAAAAAAAGUUCAUAUUAUUCAUACCAAUCGGACAAAUCCCGCACCCAAAAACAAUGGCUAGAUAGAAAGUUCAAUUAUAGAUUAGGUAAUCUAUCCUUUUCAACUUAAAUGCACAUUCAUGAUGGUUAUGCAAAUCAUAUUAUGUUAACAAAUGCAACAAUUAAUUAUAUUUAUCCAUUUGGAAUGAUAUAUAUUUUCAAAGAUGGAAUUACAGACCCCGUUGACGUUGAGGCCAUUGCAUGAGAGAAUUUUAGAUGAUUUUCAAUUAAUUUAUAUUAUUGUUGUGAUAACCAUAAUAAUUAUUUUCUAAAUGUAAAACUAUAUUAAUGAAAUUUUCUUUGUCGGUCAAAAGAAGAUGAAAAGAUAUCUUUAUCUUCUAUCACAACAAAAAAAUUAAGGAUAUUAAUGUAAUAGGCUAAUAGCGAUGGGGUGAAGAAAUGGAACUAUCCUAAAUAGGCAGUUGCUGGUUAUAUUGGAUCAGGUGGUCUGAAUGAUUGGAUAAUUAGCAAAUAAAAAGGUUCCAUUUUUCAUGGACCCUCAAGUGGAAAUAUGGGAUAAAAGAUGGCAUAUACCAUUUUAUCCAUUUGUGAUUGUACAUUUUGAUGGUUGUGAUUUCACCCGAUGGCGCGGCAAGUGUGGAUUGGGAUAAGGAUGGUUUUGGUCUAUCAUCAAAGAUGGUUUGAUGUUCACGACUGGAUUUUACAACGCAUCCAAGUGCAUGGGUUCUAUAAAUACAGAGUUGCGCACAAUAAAAAAGUACAAAGGACCUUCAAACCUUUCACACACUCUGAGAAACUCCUGAUUCUCCCAACUUCGUCAACACAUCUUCAAUUUGGAUUAACAUCACUGUUUGUCAGUGAGGAGUCCUUAGUCUUCUCGUCUCAUUAGCCCUCUAGGUGAAGUGAGGUGUUACUGAAUUACUUGAGUAUUCAGCACAUUGAAAGUCGAACCUUAUUUGAACUUCACAGUAGUUAGCAAUCUUAUCUUCAGGUUUUAGAACCCAAUGCCAAGACAUAUUCCUUCCUCGACAGUGAUGGUUUGUACACAAAAGUUGGUUUGUACACAUAAGUCAGUAUUGUGUUUGACACACCAUCCCAUUCAUUCUACUAGCCCACAAACGCGUGGACUCGUCCAAAAUUACCCCACUCUCGGCCCGUUCACUUGCCCACUCGUCCCACGCGGCCCGUGAGUCUUCAGUGCCUGAUAGGGGGGCCUACUGUUAGGGCCGUUGUUGGCCACAACCCAGAGCCCAACGAUUUUUUUUUGCAUCCCACGACUGGCAUUUUUGGACCGUUGGUUGAUCCAACGGUCCAGAUUCAAAUUUUGUUUUUUUAAAUGUUAUUUUAAAAUACAUUGAAUCCAACGGCUGAGAUCGAAUAUAAUCAAAUCUAACGGUAAAAUAAAAAAAGAUAAAAAAAGAUAUAACAGUCCAAAUUUAAAUCCAACAGCUAAAAUAAUUUUAAAAAAAAUUAUUUAACUCAAAAUUCACCCAAAAACUCUAUAAAUACCUUUGUAUUUGUUCAAACAUCCACACAAAACUCAAUUUUCUCCCACAAUUCUUCCAUUUUUUCUUUCUACCAUUUCUUUCCAUUUCCAAAUUGUUCAACACGAUCCUUGAAUUGGCCAUCCCAAGCAGUAAGACAAUUCUUCCACUCCCAAAGCAUACAAUCGAGACUUCCUAUCAUGUCAGGAAAGCCUAUUUUGUCUGCUUUGAGUAGAAUGUGACGACAUGUCCCGAAUUAUUAUAUAUUUUUCUCCCUAAGUGUGUAAAGUGACGGUAAUGCCCUCGUGAUUUAGUGACGUGGAUGUACAUAUGUAGUUUUAAAUUAUUAUUUCUAUUGUCGUAGUUAAAUUGUACUCGACGCCAUGAGUGUGUUGAUGUGACCUAGGGCUAAAACAAAUUCGUAACGAAGAAGUUACGAACAGACGAGUGUGUAAAUGCGUAGAAAUAUAUUUUUAUGGGUUGGCUAUACCUUACCCACCAAUCACCUUAAUUCCUGAUUUCUUUGGCCUAAUUGAAUUAAAAAUAUCUCUCAUUUUUCCUUCUGCCCAAUCACGCACAUACACACCAUCACUCUCUCUCUUCUCUCGGACCUUCUUCUUCUUUCUUCUCAUUCCGUACACCCGAGCCACCCUUACCUCACAAUCAUCAUCAAAACAUUAUGGAUCGAAUUGGAAAUCACUACCAUCGCAGUCACCUCGAUCCCACGAACUCAUUGAUACCCUUAGGUCGAGGAAUAGACGUCGGGAAUUCGAGAACUCGGGAGCUCUGGCGAGGUGUAUUUUUCUACUUUGUGAUCGUGGUCUUUUUCUAUGGUUUAAAGGCUUGAGGUGGGUCCUAAUCAACUUUAUAGGGACCCUAGAUUAGUUUUGGAGCAGUUUGAACGUUGGAAUAGGUGAGAACAUGGAGUUGCAGGUUGGCCGGUUGAUCCAAGCCUUACUCCGACCACUUUCUGUCGGUUUUAGAACCUCAAGUAGGUAAGAUUGUAUUCUUCUAGUUGAGAGUUUCAAAUCCAUAUAAAAUUCAUGGAAUUUGGUUGAAAAAUGAUGAAGAUAUUAAAGUUUUAAGAUUUUUCCAAAAAUCAGCGACACAAACGGCGCCCGACGGCCAGCGAUGGAUUCCGACAAAGCCAUCGGAGAAGGAGGAGAAUAUUAUGUCUAACUUUGACAGAAUAUACUAACAGCGUCAGGUAACUCUAUUAGUUUUUAAACAAAAUAUUCUACUAUUUAAUGAAAUAUUCCCUAACGCCGUUAGGGAUUCCGUGCCUGCACGUGCCGGCUUAUGAGGGCGCGUGAGACGUCAGGAAAUUAAUCUAAAAAUAUUGGGGUGUUCGAGUUGUUGAGUAGGUCAUGUUGGUAUAUUCAAACACCCUAUUUGAGCAACGUAUGAGAAGUUAUUCCUAGGGUUUGUGUAUGUGCCUUAAAAUUAAUGUAAAAUUAGUUAUUUCGCAUAUAGGUGAGACUUACCCGGAGGACAAACGUGGUCAAACGAGACUUGGGGGCUACGAUCCUACUACUUACCAGUGAGCGGGCUUUUUUUUUCUAUAUAUAUGUAAAUAUGCUUAUGAAUCCCAUAAACUACUUUAAAUGAACGUAUGUUUUAAAUGCCAUGUCGUGUGCAUUAUGUGUUAGUAUUGCAUUAGUAUAGCUAUGCAUAGUAUUGGAUGAGACUGCGCAGACUCAGGUAAGUUUCAGGUGAGUACAUCAUGAUGGUAUUGGGUGCGUGUGUGUGGUUAUACGUUGAUGCAUUUUGAGCUUAUUAUCCUGCACAUUGGUGUUAGUGUUCUCGCCCAUGGCCAGGGCAUAGUUUUUCACAUGAUGUUCACCUCCUGGGCCGCACGCUCACUUUGGAUCCAAGUUUGGUGCACAGCCAUAUUGCACAGACCACAAUAGGUGGUUCCGACUCGUAGGUGACCUGCAAUUAUUUGCACAGCCUUCACGUGAUCGUAGCACUUAAGCGUACUUAUCUACACCCAGCCCUGUUGUACAGACCACAAUAGGUGGUUCCGACUUAUGUGCAUGCAUACUUGAUGAGCUAUAGAUUCAAUUGUACAGGUUACAUUAGGUGACUCCGGUUGGCAUACUAUUUUAGGUUGAUUCGUAUCACCUGGCUUACACAUUUUAUGGUUGAACAUCUUGACAUGGCAUACCUCUGUUUUCACUGCUCUAAGCAUUAUCCUUAUGUACCUAGUUGUUAUUAUUUUCUGGAAAAUUAUAUGGGUUUACAGUGAGGGGUUAGUAUGUUCAUAAAGACAACUGUGUUUUCAAAAACUUUGUUUUUGCCUACUCACAUUUUUUGUUUUGCACCCUUUCAGGUUCUAGGUAGUUGGUCAUCCUUGGUGGCUCACGAGGACUUUCACGGCGGUUCUGACAUCUCUGUAAAUAAGUAGGGAUUUUUUUCCCUGUUUGUAUAAUUAGUACUUAGUUGGUUCGAUUGCACUUUCGUUUACCCAUGCUCUGAUAUUUGUAUAACUUGCUUGGUCAUCUUUACUCACUUAUAUUAUCUUAGUUUAGAUAAGUUUGGUUUUAGGUUUUUAUUUAUUCGCAUUUCUUUUAUUAUUACUUCUGUUGCGCAUUUUGGCUACGUUACUCUUACGUGACGGGCAUCAUGUUUCGACUUCGGUUGGGGUGUGUCAUAAAAGCCUCUUCAAGUCUUCAUGAUUUGGCUUGCAGAGAUAUGUGGCUCCAUAUGUGGCCUGAAUUGCCCCACAGAAGCGCUCCAGGUUUUUAAUAGCAGUAGUCUCCGCAAGUCGGCAAUACUCAUCAGUUGAGUUUGCAGAGCACUCAUUAGCUAGCAUCCGAAAUGCAGAUGUGAGCUUCUGAUGAGGUGAUAGACUUUGUCGGCCUACGACAUUUAUCUUCCUUGCAAAGUAGUGGUCAUGAUUGACAACUGUGUUCAAGAUGCUUUCAAAAAUCUCUCUCCUCAUUCGAAACCGUCUCCGAAAAUCAUGAGCAGGAAAUCUCGGACGCUCAAUAAAAUAAUAUUUCAUCAUUCGGUCAUGACACUCUUCUCUAUCACGUUGCACAAAUGAACGCUUCGUGACAUAACCACAAUAGCUAGAUUCGACAUGGUGCUCAUAUUGCAUAAGCGAGUUUGGAAGUUUAGCUUAUGCGUUGAUCAUUUUUGAAUCCUCAAUGUCAAGGCUUGCUUGGUAUUAUGUCAUUUGCAUUGCCCUGCUACACCUUCUUCUAUCAUCCAUUGUUGAUAUAUUGAGGAUUUUUAUGAAACAAAAACACUUUGAAAGUUGAAAGAUUAGUGAAUAUAGGGAAUGAUUGAAGGUUGAAAGAUUGUGUGACCAACUGAUAUUGAACAUGUGUUUAUAUAGAGGAUGAUUGAUGAAAGUUGAAAGUUUGGUGAAAGUUGAACGGUUGGUGAAAGUUGAAGAUUUGUGAAAGUUAAAGACUUGCUUUGUGGAAAGAUUUAGUGAUUUUUUCAAUAUUUAUUGGAAUUUAAAUAUUUUUAUAUUAAAAUGUUCAUAAAAUUAAUUUACCAUAGGCUACAUAAUUUUUUUUAAAAGUUAAUUUAAGAAAAAAAAUUAGCCUAAGUUCAUUCUUUAAUAAUCCCGAACUAAAAUUUUAGGCUAGGGUUGGAGCAGAAAAACUGUUUCUGUGUUAAAAGCUAAAUUUUUUAGAUUAAAAAUUUUAAAUUUUAACCCAAAGGUUGGAGAUGAUUUAAGAAUGGAUAAACUUAACCAAGAAAAGAAGAAAAAAGAUGAAGGGCAAAUAAGUGAGAAGCAACAUGACACGACACACGGACGACCAUAGCAAUAAAGCGUGCGUCCUCACGUCCAUUGAAUAUAUAGAUGGGAGCUACAACAUCGUGUUUCACGUGCAUGUGUAUUAUACAUAAAGGCAUAUACAGUGUUAGCUUAUAUAUUAUAAAGUUUGUAGGCCACUUACCCAAUUUGGCAUAUGUUUUAUCUUUUUACGUGAAUAACCAAUGUGUUAUGAUGAUACAAGUCUCUUAACAUAUCCGGAGUUAGAAAUAUCAUAAGACAGUGUUGCGAUCAUAUUGAAAUUAAUUGACAGUUUGUAUUAUAUAUUUGAUUAUUCUUUAUUAACUUAAGGAGACAGCAUACUUAGACCUAAUUUAGUCACAUUCUCCAACCGAAAAUAAAGCGGUGUAGUAUUCAUACACUUUUUUUUAUUUCUUACACAGUCUUAAUUAAUUUCUAUUGUUUGAUCUUCUUCAAUUCAUUCGAUCUGACGACCGAAAAUUAAGAUGGUGUGUGGACGAGUAAAUUAUAACAAUGGUCCCUCAACUUUAAUCAAAUUGGAGCAAGGGUGCUCAACUAAAAAUCCAUUACCAUUGGUUCCUCAACUCAUCAAAAUGUGUAGCUAUGGUCAUUUUCGUCAACUUCGUUACAAUUUUGUCAAAAUAAGUUAUAUUGGAAUGACUAUUGCUACAAUUGGGGUCCCUCAACUCAUCAAAACGUGUAGCUAUGGUCAUUUUCAUCAAUUUCGUUAGAAUUUUAUCAAAAUGAGUUUUGUUGGAAUGACCAUUGCUACAAUUGAAUUAAAGUUGAGGGACUAUUAUUUCAAUUGAGUUAAAGUUGAAAGAUCAUUUCUUCAGUUGUAUUAAAGUUGAAGGAUCAAUGGUAAUGAAUUUUUAGUUGAGGGGACUAUAGCUGCACGUUUUAAUGAGUUGAGAGAACAAUAAUAAUGAAUUUUUAGUUGAAAAACUAUUACUUCAAUUGAGUUAAAAUUAAGAAACAAUUGCUACAAUUUUUUUAUAUGGAAAGUGGAUGAUGUGAAUAGCACAUCCAAAAAUAAAAGGGAACUUUAACGAAAAGCACCCGGUACUGUUCACUUUAACGAAAAACCACAUUUUUACACUAAAAAGUCAAUCCUGGUACUAUUCACUUUACCCUUUAUUUUGUCCUUAUCAUUAAAACUCAAAGUUUUCAAGCCCUUUUCAUUAGUUUUCCUAAAAUAAAAUGCACCACAAUUUGGUAGGAUCUUCCUGUUGAGAGUAAUAAAUUAAUAAUUGCCGAAAUAUUGGAUAAUUUGUCGGCCACAACGCUAUGAGGGAGUAUCUGGGGAUGAAUAUACUCUUGCCGACAGAUGCCCAAAUUCCAACUGCCAUUCAAAUGAGCCCUCCACCACCACCGGCCAUAAUAAAUUCUCUUUCUUUAGUGAAGAAGAAAAAGAGGUACUUGGCCCUCACCUCAACUUUUUGAGAAAGAACAAGUUUAUCGCUAUCAGAAUGUUUCGGUCAAUUAUAUAAGUUAUGUGUAAAUUUUUCUUUAGAUAACAUUACAUUAUUAUAUUUAAAAUGUUCCGUAACGAUAAAUUUGUUUCAUACAAAUUAUUCUCCAACUUCUUGGAUUUUUCUCCUUUUUCCCGAAAACCAGCUUAUAUUAGUGUUCAUCCUCUGUCAAUAUCACUCGCCCACAACUAUUCAACUAACUUUUAAUAAUUUGACAACGUGUCAUAUUUUUGUGCAAAGCGGGCCCAUUUUUGUGGGUGAUAUAAUAAUGGCGUAUGUGGUUUGUCAAGACAUAUACUCAUUUAUCCAUUAGCAGUUAGGUAAGUCACCUCACUCACCCACAGCCUAACACAUCAACAAAUAUUGCUUACAAAUUCUAGAAAAUUCGACCAAGAAAAAAAACCAAAUGCUCGCAAAUUAAAAUUGUGUAACAUGAUUAGUUUUUUAUCCAUUAGUAUUAAUUUUACGUUGGAAGAAAUUCCAAAUUUAUUCUUGUAAAGAGGGAUAUGAAAAUACUUUGUAUGUCUAUCACCAAAAUCUUCGAAUGUUUGAAUGGUUGAUUUUCAAGUCUCACACAAUUGGAUUUAGUUCAAGUGAGAAAGAAAUACACUCAAACUAUUAGAUAUGAGGAAUGAAAAUACACUACAAAAUCUUGUGAACAUUUCUAAUAUUCUCUUCUAUCUACUUUUUGUGAACCAAGUUUUUAUUUGUUUUUUUUUUUAACAAAAGAUAUUUUUUAUACUAGGGAAAUAAGGUGGGUUUAGCCUCAUAAUGGGCUAACAUAAUCUAGUUCAAACUUGCAUUUGGUGAGAAUCGAACCUAAAAUCUCUCACUUACAAGUGAAGAGGAAUACCAUUAGAAGUGUCAUGAAAUUAGCAGUCUUAUAUGUAAAAAAUUGAUUGACUAAAUGCUGUGUUAAAAAACAAGAUUAAUACUUGCAUCUCCCCACUUGGAAAAUGCAAAUAUUUCAUUUCUUGCAAAUAACGUAUAUCAUGCGUUCUGUUCAAUCGCAUAUUCAAAAAUGUUAAAAACAAGAUUAAUAUUUCUAUCUCCCCACUUGGAAAAUGCAGUAUUUCAUUUUUUACGAAUAACGUAUAUCCUGUGUUCCGUCCAAUCGCGUAUUAAAAAAAUGUGUGAAGUUUGGAUUAACUACACUCUUUGAGAAUUUCCUUAAAUAACCACUUUUUGAAAAUUUCUUAUAGGACUAAGUGAGUCUCCGCUGAGAAUUUCCUUAACUAACACAACACUACUUGAGUGAUAAUUUGUUAUAUCUUGAAUAGAGAAUAAAUCAGUUCCCUACUUUUGAAGGUACUAUUAACUUACACUAUAUUUGAAUGAGAACAAUAAACUUAGAAUUUAGAUGAAGGAAAUAAAACAGUUUCCUACUUUUGAAGGUACUACUCGAGUGAUAAUUUGUUAUAUCUUGAUAACGUGUCAUAUUUUUUUGCUAAGCGGACCCAUUUUUGUGGGGUGGUAUAAUAAUGGCGUUUGUUGUUUGUCAAGGGCAUAUACCCAUUUAUCCAUUAGCAGUUAGGUCACCUCACUCACCCACAACCUAGUACAUCAACAAAUAUUGCUUACAAAUUCUAGAAAAUUCAACCAAGAGAAAGAAAACCAAAUGCUCGCAAAUUAAUCUGUGUAACAUUAGUUUUUAUCCAUUAGUAUUUAUUUUACAUUGGAAGAAAUUCCAAAUUUAAUCUCGUAAAGAGGGAUAUGAAAAUACUUUGUAUAUCUAUUAUCAAAAUCUUUGAAUGUUUGAAUGAUUGAUCAUCAAGUCUCACACGAUUGAAUUUAGUUCAAGUGAGGAAGAAAUACACACAAACUAUUAUAUAUGAGGAUUGAAAAAUACACUACAAAAUCUUGUGAUAACAUUUCUAAUAUUCCUUUCUAUCUACAUUUUGUGAUAAGUUUUUUUUUUCCUUUUUUGAACAAACUAUAUUUAUCUACAUUAAGGGAGAGGAGGUGAUCUUAGCCUCACAAUGGGCUAGCAUAAUGUGGUUCAAAUUCGCCUUUGGCGAUAAUCGAACCUAAAACUUAUCAUUUACAAGUAAAUAGGAAUACCACUAGAUGGAUCAUGAAAUUAGCAGUCUUAUAGGUAAAAAAAAAUUGAUCGACUAAAUGAUGUGUUAAAAAACAAGAUUAAUACUUGCAUCUCUCCACUUGAAAAAUGUAGAUAUUUCUGUGAACACGGAAAAUUCCUGAAACGAAAGAGACAAGAACAACGUGCACAAAAUAAUAUUUUGGUGUUAAUGGAUUUGUUGGGUUACGAUCUCUUUUAACUUGAUCCUCUGAUUCGAUCUCCGUAAGGUGUUGAUUUAUGGAUGUUUCGUUGAUCCAAGGGCUGUUGAGGCUUGAUCUUAGAUGAACUGUUGGAAGUUUCUUCAAGGGGCCGUGGGCUUGAUCUUUGAAGGUGGAUUUGAGCGGAUCUUCAAGGAGCCGUUGGGGCUUGAUCUUGAGGAUGAGUGUUUCUUCAAGGGCCGUUAAGGCUUGAUCUUGAAUAACGGUGAUGAACGGAUCUUCAAGGGCUUUUGGGCUUGAUCUUGAAGAACGGUUGGAUGUGUGGAUUUGUUGAUGUUGUUGAUCCAAGGGCCGUCGGAGCUUGAUCUUGGAAGAACGAUGAACGAAGAACGAAGAACACUUUCUUCAAAGGCCGUCGGGGCUUGAUCUUGAAUUGGUGAUUGUUGAUCCAAGGGCCGUCGGGGCUUGAUCUUGGAAGAACGAUGAACGAAGAACGAAGAACACUUUCUUCAAGGGCUGUCGGGGCUUGAUCUUGAAUUGGUGAUUGUUAAUCCAAGGGCCGUCGGGGCUUGAUCUUGAUUCUUCGGGAUGAACGGAUGAUGAACAAUGAACACUUUCUUCAAGGGCCGUCGGGGCUUGAUCUUGAAUUGGUGGAAGUUCUUCAAGGGCCUUUGGGGCUUGAUCUUGAAGGUGGAUGAUUGUUGAUCCAAGGGCCGUCGGGGCUUGAUCUUGGGAUGAACAGUUGUGUGGAUUUGUUGAACACUUUCUUCAAGGGCCGUCGAUGCUUGAUCUUGAAUUGGUGGAAGUUCUUCAAGGGCCGUUGGGGCUUGAUCUUGAAGGAGGAUUUGACGAAGAACGAAGAGGGCUUUCUUGAUCCUUCGGGAUUUGCUUGAAUUUGGGAGGUUGGAUGCUUGAAAGCUUUAGAGUUUCAAAGCUUCAAGGAUUUUGGAUGUGUGGGGAGUAUUCUCUUCCAUUUUGGGAGUAGAGAAAUGUAUUUGUGAAUUGGUUUUUGAUACCUUGAUGUAGAAGCCUAUUUAUAGGCUUUGAGAAUGAAUCACCACCACAAAAUAUUUUUUUUCUUUUCCAAGCACCAUUGCCUAAUUUCCCACUUAAUACAAUUUUAAACUUGAAGUGGUAAUUUUAUGGCCUAAUUUUCCACUUAAUAUCAUUUUAAACUUGAUAUGUGCAUGCUUUGUCAUUGCCCAAAAUGAGAAGAAAACCUUGUUUUGAUCUUCAAUGAAUUGAAAUGUGCUUGCCUUGUCAUUGCCCAAAAUGAGAAGAAAAACUUGUGUAAUCCUUCAAGGGUAUUUCUUUUUAUUUUGUUGAGUCGCACACCAUGUGUACAAUUUGUAUGACACGUGGCAUAUGCCAUGUACGCCUUGACACGUCAAAAUUUUAAUGCGUUGGUGAACAUUUAUUUCACCGCAAUUUCGGUGUCUACAAAUGCCCCCACUUCAAGGUGCGUCGUAUACAUGUGCUUGUCACGUGUAGGAGAUGCGUUUUGAAGUCCCUUACUGUAGAUGUCAAUCCAAUGGCCAUCGAGGCUUGAUCUUGAAUUGGGCUGGAGAUUUCUUCAAGGGCCGUUGAGGCUUGUUCUUGGACUUUGUUUGAAAUUUCUUCAAGGGCCAUCGAGGCUUGAUCUUGAAGGUUGAAAUUGGACCACAAGGAGCUUCAUGUGGUAGAUGAUCUUUGGCUUUGGUAGUGGAUGAAUCGGCACGUAUUUGUUUUUGCGCUUUGUUGACUUUCCACAGCUUUGAUCUUGAACUGGGUUGGAGGAUUUUUUGGAUUCCUCCAAUUGUUGAUUUUCCACAGUUUAUUCUUGAACUGGAUUUGAUUCAAAUAUGGUGGACGCUUGAUCUUGAAUCGGACUUGUGAUUUCCUCAAGGGCCGUCGAGGCUUGAUCUUGAAUUUGGCCGGAAACUUCUUCAAGGGCCGUUGAGGCUUGAUUCUUGAAGGUUGACUCGAACACAUGGCAAGCAGGCACGAGGUGAAGGUGACGACUUGUUGCUUUGUUCAAUCUUUCUAAUUCACACCUGAGCAGUUUGGUCAACGGUAUGAUCUUCAAGAUUGAUGGGCUCUUCUUCCAGUUGGUGAUUUGAUCUUUAAGGAUUUGAUUCAAGGGUGGUGAAACGGCACAUGCAGCCCACAACGCCUAGCAAGUCGACCCAAGAAUUUGAGGGUUAAAACGAGUCCUCCACCCAGAGUGAUUGCAAACCUGAUGAUAUGAGAUACUUUUGAUUUUGAAGAAGUAGCGGAUGAAUCGGCACGUGCUUUGUUGUGCUUGUCUCCACAUGCUUCAAUGUAUCAUUUUCCCUUGUCUUAUCUAUUCUUCUAGCAGAAUGUAGCAUCUUCUUAAGUUCUUCAACUCAGACUCCUUCUGCUGAGCUGACUGUGCAGGCUGCAUUAUUCUCUGCUUGUUUCUUUAGGCAGAUGUGGCAGCUUCUUGAGUUCCUCAGCUCGGACUCCUUCUGCUGAGCUGAUUGUGAAGACUGCAUUCUUAUCUGCUUGUUUCUUCUGUACGUUGUCUCCACAUGCUGCAAGGUAUCAUUUUCAAUUGCCUUAUUUGUUUUCCAGGCAAAUGUGGCAUCCGAGUUUGAGUGGAGGUUCUGGCAUAUUGUUUUCUUUAUCCUUGUCUUUGUAGGUAAGAACAAGGACAAAGGAAAGGACAGGGAGAACGCAUGAUAUGAUAUACUCUUGCUUUCUACCCUGGUGAUAUGAGAUACUUUUGCUUUGGUGUCAUUUGUUUGCAGAGGUACCCCAAGGAAUAAGAAACACUGAGUGACUCGAGAGGCUUUGUUGGGAAGGCAUUCUAGGAGAUGAAGAAAGGUUCUUGGAGAUGAAGAAAGGUUCUCGGAGAUGAAGAAAGGUUAUGUAUGUCUGCCUUGCUAUGGAGGGUAAAGGUGGACAGUUAUAGGAAAUUCUUUAGUACCUGUAGAGGUACUAUUCUUUUACUCGUGUCGGCAACCAAUGUGUGAUUGAUCAGUAUGGCUUCACGUGUUUUCUUCUUUAUCAGAAAUCUUCGACAAAUUGUCCGUAAUUUUCGUCAAGCUGAGUGUGCAUGUGACAGGUGUUGACGAGGCUGAAAAAGACUGGUGCCUCUUCGAUAUCUGGGAUCGGCGCUUCGACAAAUUGCCCGUGAUUUCCGCAAAGCUGAGUUUGCGCGUGACGGGUGCUGACGAGGCUGAAAAAGACUGGCGCCUCUUCGAUAUCUGGGAUUGGCGCUUUAACAAAUUGCCCAUGAUUUCUGCAAAGCUGAGUUUGCACGUGACGGGUGCUAACGCGUCUGGAAAAGCAAGAUGCUUCUCCGAUUUCUGAGCUUGCCUCUUUGAUUUUUGAAUUGGCCUCUUCGAAUUCUGAGCUCGCCUCUUCGAUCUUUGAAAUCCCAUCGAGUGUUGAUCUUUAUAGAGGCACGCAGUUCGUUUCAAAGCACACUUGAAUUUUCGCUUGUAGAAACUCCCUUCUUGCACUUCUAAGAUCUUGAUUUGUCCGACCUCUUCUUUCUUCAACACCUUUGAAAAUGUCUGGACCCUCCGACCGUCAUUUUGAUUUGAACCUUGGUGAAGAGGUAGUCCCGUCUUCUCCAGAUAACAUAUGACGCCCAUCUUUCAUAUCCCCUACUGGUCCUCUUACCGUUGGGGAUUCGGUGGUGAAGAAUGAUAUGACCGCUGCGGUGGUGGCCCGAAACCUUGUCACUCCCAGAGAUAACAGACUACUUUCCAAACGGUCUGAUGAGUUGGCUGUUAAGGAUUCUCUGGCUCUCAGUGUGCAGUGUGCAGGUUCUGUGUCUAAUAUGGCCCAACGCCUAUUUGCUCGAACCCGUCAAGUUGAAUCAUUGGCGGCUGAAGUGAUGAGUCUCAAACAGGAGAUAUUAGAGGGCUCAAGCAGAGAGAUAAACAGUUGCAUAAGCUCGCACAUAGCUAUGCGACAAACAUGAAGAGGAAGAUUAACCAGAUGCAGGAAUCUGAUGGUCAGAUUUUACUUGAUCAUCAGAGGUUUGUGGGUUUGUUCCAGCAGCAUUUGCCUUCGUCUUCUGGGGCUGUACCGCGUAAUGAAGCUCCAAAUGAUCAACCCUUGGCUCCUCUUCUUCCUGGAGUUCCGCCGAGUGGUGUGGCUUCAAACAGUCAACCUCCGACGCCUCUCAUUUCUGGAGCUCUGCUGAGUGGUGAGGUGGCACCUAAUCGUCCUUGAAGAUCCCCUCUUGUAAAUUUGAUUUGAUUUUUUUUUAAGUAUGUAUAAUGCAAAUUUAUGUAAAAUUUCCAGAAAAAAUAAAUAAAAACGGACUUUAUUUCUCUCAAUGCAUUUGUUUUGUUUUGUUUUUGUUUUUUUUGUUUUUUUGUUUUUGUUUUUUUUGUAAAUACAUAAUAACAUAUGUAUUUAUUUAUUUAUUCUUUUGUAAUAAAAUUGACUUUCUUUAAUAAAACUUUUAUAUUUUUCUUAUUUAUUUUGAUAUGACUGAACUCGAAAUUGAAUGUUCGAGCCGCCUACGUACCCUUCCAAAGAAGAGAUCAAGCCAUAACGUAGUUCAAAUGAGUGAUGAAUUUAAUAGUGAUUUUGAUGAUGAUUUUGCCGUACACAGUUUAUGCUCUUGUGGGCCAGGAGCUUUGGUGUUGCCUUUUAUGCUCGUGCAGACCAGGAGCGUUGAUGUCGCCUUUUAUGCUCGUGUGGGUCAGGAGCGUUGAUGUUGCCUUUUAUGCUCGUGCAGACCAGGAGCUUUGUGCCAUGCAGUUUAGACUCGUGCGGGCAAGGAGCUUUGGUUCGUGCAGUUUAGGCUCAUGCGAACAAGGAGCAUUGGUUCGUGCAGUUUAGGCUCGUGCGAACAAGGAGCAUUGGUGUUGCCUUUUAUGCUCGUGCAGACCAGGAGCUUUGUGCUAUGCAGUUUAGACUCGUGCGGGUGAGGAGAAUUUGUGAAUUUUGUCAAGCACUUUUGGAGAGGCGUUCCUUACAAUCUUCAUAGCAAGGAGCCUUGACCGAGUGAUUGAAGAAGUCUUCGGGAAAGAAGUCGCACAUCGUGAUGGCAACAGACGAUCUUUGUGUCGUAAUUUCAUCAUCUUCAACACGUUCACGUUGCUUUGAAGGUUGACAAGAGCUGCUUUGCCCCCUUUCCGAUUGGCGGACUUGUGGAGGAGACGUAUGCUUCUUGUGCCAUUUCUUAGGAGUGACUUGAGUCCAUCCUUCAAGUUUGCUUGUUUUGGAGGAUGCCCCCGGCGGUUGAGGUGAAAAUUUUGUGUUGAAAGAGCCAGAAGUGAUGGUGGUAUAGUUUGACUUCACCACAUCGUCAAGAUCUAGCUCGAUGAUUCCUUUCUGAGCCCACUUUAUGAUGAGAUCUUUCAGCACAAAGCACUUUUCUGUCGGAUGACUGAUGAAGCGGUGGAAUUUACAGUAUCUUGGACUGUUGGUACGAUUCAUCUCUUCCGGCCAUCUGCACUCAGGCAAACUGAUCACCUUCUUGUCCAACAGGUCAUCCAACAUGGCAACCACAUCAGAGUCAGGGAAUGGAUAAGUCUUCUCUUUAAGCUCCUUCAAAGUGCGUCUACGCAUCUCUUGAUCACGAAAAGCUUCGGUUUGAAUCGUUUUGCCUCGUGUGGAGAUUUUGACGGGAGAUGUGUUGACUGUCAUUGCUUCCUUGGUGGAUUUCCACGUAGCCUUCUCCACCUUUGUCUCAAGAAUUUUGUCGUUCUUGUAGUCGGCGAUCGGUUCCUUCUUCCCAUGAUGGGUGAUGCUCAACUCCAUGUCAUGGGCGUGGGUGGCCAAUUCCUCGAAGGUCCGUGGUUUAAUGCCUUGAAGGAUGUAUUGCAAACCUCAUUGCAUGCCUUGGAUGCACAUCUCGAUUGAAGAGGUCUCCGAGAGCCUAUCUUUGCAGUCGAGGCUUAGAGUGCGCCAUCUGUUGAUGUAGUCAAUGACCGGCUCAUCUUUCCAUUGCUUCAUACUUGUGAGCUCCAACAUGCUUACAGUGCGGCGGGUGUUGUAGAAGCGGUUGAGGAAUUCCCGCUCCAAUUGCUCCCAGCUGUUGAUGGACUCAGGCUCUAGGUCCGUGUACCACUCAAAUGCGUUUCUUUUCAGCGAGCGCAUAAACUGCUUGGCGAAGUAGUCCCCCUCCGUCCCCGCGUUGUUGCAAGUUUUGACGAAAUGUGCAACGUGCUGCUUUGGGUUUCCUUUUCCAUCAAACUGCAUGAACUUUGGUGGUUGAUAUCCCAUCGGCAUCUUUAGGGCAUCAAUCUUCUUUGAAUAAGGCUUUGAGUACAACCCGGAGGUAUUUGAGCUCCCUUCGUACUAUGCCUUGACGGUGCUGGCAAUCAUCUCUUGCAACUGUUGGAUAGAAAGAGAUCCCAUGAGUGCCGCUUCUUGGUCUGGCUCCGGCUUCACAUCGAUUUUCUCCACCGUAGGCUCAUCUUCUGGGUUAGGGUUCUCGCUGUCCUGUGGCUCCAGUUGACUGAUGAGUGCAGCGAUUUGCAAGUCUUUUUCUUCCACAGUUCGGGUUAGCCUUGCGAUUGCUUCAUUCAUUUGAGCCAGUUGUUCUUCGAUGGAGGUAACGCCGAUGGUCAUGACUUGUGCAACCAAUAGACGUGACUUUCCUUUAGACAUCCAAGAUGCUGAAGAAGAACGUCAUUGGUUGUUUUGGGAUGUCAUCUUGUGUGCCUCAGCAACAUGCUUUGGUGCCCCCAGCGAGGUCAGGUUGAUGACAGACUCACACCUUUGAUGCUCCCUUUGCUCUUUUAGCGGCACCAACUUUGAAGUGGCAUGUUAAGGAGCGGUUGUGGUGCUAAUGGAUUGUCCAUUUGCGGCAGAAGUGCUUAGGAUCCUUCCCUCAGUGAUUGCGAGAACGGCUUGUCCCUUGCUUGAUGCCAUUGAUUUUGAGGUGUGUUUGGAUUCCUUAAACGGAGAAAGAUAUGAGAGGUAGAGAUUGUCCCACCGGGCGUGCCAAUUUGUGAACACGAAAAUUUCCUGAAACGAAAGAGACAAGAACAACGUGCACAAAAUAAUAUUUUGGUGUUAAUGGAUUUGUUGGGUUACGAUCUCUUUUAACUUGAUCCUCUGAUUCGAUCUCCGUAAGGUGUUGAUUUAUGGAUGUUUCGUUGAUCUAAGGGCCGUCGAGGCUUGAUCUUGGAUGAACUGUUGGAAGUUUCUUCAAGGGGCCGUGGGCUUGAUCUUUGAAGGUGGAUUUGAGCGGAUCUUCAAGGAGCCGUUGGGGCUUGAUCUUGAGGAUGAGUGUUUCUUCAAGGGCCGUUAAGGCUUGAUCUUGAAUAACGGUGAUGAACGGAUCUUCAAGGGCUUUUGGGCUUGAUCUUGAAGAACGGUUGGAUGUGUGGAUUUGUUGAUGUUGUUGAUCCAAGGGCCGUCGGGGCUUGAUCUUGGAAGAACGAUGAACGAAGAACGAAGAACACUUUCUUCAAAGGCCGUCGGGGCUUGAUCUUGAAUUGGUGAUUGUUGAUCCAAGGGCCGUCGGGGCUUGAUCUUGGAAGAACGGUGAACGAAGAAUGAAGAACGAAGAACACUUUCUUCAAGGGCCGUCGGGGCUUGAUCUUGAAUUGGUGAUUGUUAAUCAAAGGGCCGUCGGGGCUUGAUCUUGGAAGAACGAUGAACGAAGAACGAAGAAGGCUUUCUUGAUUCUUCGGGAUGAACGGAUGAUGAACAAUGAACACUUUCUUCAAGGGCCAUCGGGGCUUGAUCUUGAAUUGGUGGAAGUUCUUCAGGGCCUUUGGGGCUUGAUCUUGAAGGUGGAUGAUUGUUGAUCCAAGGGCCGUCGGGGCUUGAUCUUGGGAUGAACAGUUGUGUGGAUUUGUUGAACACUUUCUUCAAGGGCCGUCGAUGCUUGAUCUUGAAUUGGUGGAAGUUCGUCAAGGGCCGUUGGGGCUUGAUCUUGAAGAAGGAUUUGACGAAGAACGAAGAGAGCUUUCUUGAUCCUUCGGAAUUUGCUUGAAUUUGGGAGGUUGGAUGCUUGAAAGCUUUAGAGUUUCAAAGCUUCAAGGAUUUUGGAUGUGUGGGGAGUAUUCUCUUACAUUUUGGGAGUAGAGAAAUGUAUUUGUGAAUUGGUUUUUGAUACCUUGAUGUAGAAGCCUAUUUAUAGGCUUUGAGAAUGAAUCACCACCACAAAAUAUUUUUUUCUUUUCCAAGCACCAUUGCCUAAUUUCCCACUUAAUACAAUUUUAAACUUGAAGUGGUAAUUUUAUGGCCUAAUUUUCCACUUAAUAUCAUUUUAAACUUGAUAUGUGCAUGCUUUGUCAUUGCCCAAAAUGAGAAGAAAACCUUGUUUUGAUCUUCAAUGGAUUGAAAUGUGCUUUGCCUUGUCAUUGCCCAAAAUGAGAAGAAAAACUUGUGUAAUCCUCCAAGGGUAUUUCUUUUUAUUUUGUUGAGUCACACACCAUGUGUACAAUUUGUAUGACACGUGGCAUAUGCCAUAUAUGCCUUGACACGUCAAAAUUUUAAUGCGUUGGUGAACAUUUAUUUCACCGCAAUUUCGAUGUCUACAAUUUCAUUUCUUGUGAAUAAUGUUUAUCCUGUGUUCUGUCCAAUCGCGUAUUAAAAAAUGUGUGAAGUUUGGAUUAACCACACUCUUUUAGAAUUUCCUUUAUUUACCACUUUUUGAGAAUUUCCAAUAAGACUGGGUGAGUCUCCGCUGAGAAUUUCCUCAACUAACACCACACUACUUGAGGGAUAAUUUGUUAUAUCUUUGAAUAAAGAAUAAAACAGUUUCCUACUUUUGAAGGUACUAUUAACUUACACUAUAUUUGGAUGAAGGUCAAACUUUAUAAAUUGACAUACACCAAAUUCUUUGUUUGGAUUCAUAAACAUAUAAAUUUAGAAUUUCCGCGUGGAAAAAAAAAAUACUUAGAAUUUGAGACCUCCAAUUCUCAAAUUGAAAGUUUAAAAAUAAUAAAUUCCGUAUUCAAUUCAAUUGUUCUUUUAGGUUAACCAAAUAAGAAAAUUCACAAAUUCUAAAAUAUAAAAUCUCAUCAUUUCAAUUUCCGUCAUUUUAAAAUUCCUUAGUAAUAUUAAAUUUCUUCAUCCAAACAUAGUGUUAAGAAAUUUUUUAAAGAUACACUAUUUACACUCAUUUUUAUUUCUUACACAUUUAUUAACUUUGUCCAUUGAUUUCUUCAAUUCAUUUUGCCAGUUAUACAAAAAUUGAGAACAGUAUUUAUGAAUUAAAAAUACAUUUGUAGAUGUCACUACCAAAUUUUUAUUCCUAAUUCAAGAAAAUCUUAUCCAUAUAUGAUUGCCCUUGCCCACUUUAAAUGGGUGCCAUCACUUUACGAUAGAGCAAUCCUAACCGUCCACCUAGGUAAGCAUAACUGGCGAUGCAUGUCGCAAGGGGACCGCAUUGCACAAUAUAAUUAUACUAGUUGAUAAGACAAGUGAUGUCAAUCAAUAAAUUAUUUCAUUAAAACUUAGUUGUAUGUAUCAUAUGUUGUAAUGUAGGGUGUAUGAUAUGCUGACGCUGUAAAAAAAUGUAACCUUUUUAAUAUUACUCAUAAUAGUAAGACUUACCAGUAUUAGGAUGUUAUCAGUGGAAUGAGAAUCCUCUCCAGAUCUUUUUUGUGAGCUAUUAUUUGUAUUUAAUUUUAAAUAUAAAAAAUUAAAAUAAUUUAUGACGGCAGUGAUUCACAUGAUCUUCACAAAGAGAAUCCAAAUAAUCUUAAUUUAUAUCAGUGUGUCUAGAUAACAUGAUCGAGCCCCUUUACUUUUACCCUAUUUAGUAUUUUACAUUUGAACCUGUAAAUAUUCGAUUUUUCUUUGGUGCAACCGAGCACCAAAUAUAGAUUUUUUUUCACUUUUAUAUAAUGAUAAAUAAAGGGCAAUUGGCAGAUUUGAAUUCCAUUCGGAUUGGUCAAAAAUCAUUUUAAAUUGUUUUAUUUAAAAUUAAACACAUAUAGUACUUAAUAAAAAUUAGUCGUACAAUAUACGAUAAACAGAUAUAAUGUAAGGACCUUUAUGAUCUUCACAAAAAAGAUCCAAAGGUUGUGUAGCUGUUUCAAAAGGAUAAUACUCACUUUUGAUUAGUUCAAUGAAAUUUUAAACAUGUUUUAUUGUUUUAAAAAAUAAUAAACAUAUUUAUUAAUGUUUGUUUUACUUUAAAAAAUAAGCAGCACUUGACAACAUUUGAUUGUGCUAAAUAAAAAAUGAGUGACCACUUAGUACUACAGUCUUAUGAUAUUUUUCUUCAUUUGAAAGUGAGAGGUUUUAAGUUCGAAUCUCGUGGAUGACGAAUUUGAUAUCAAAUUAGAUUGCUCACUAUGUGGCUUAGCCGAACUCUCAUUUCCUUUAAUGUAAAAAUAUUGAUGUAUUCAAAAAAAUAAAAAGUGACUAUAGAGGACACUCAAUCUCAGCUGUAUGAUUAAAUCAGACGGUAAGAAAAAUUCUGCAAGCAUACUCGGUUACAUUAAUUGAAGAAAAAAUGGGUAAAUAUUGGGCACCAACGUUAUAAAUACCCUCCACCAUGCACCCAACUCCCUCACACCAUCACAACCCACGUUACAAAUCCUCCUCCUCAUCAUAACCAUUCUGUUUUCCGCAUAAUAUCCAAAAACCUAUCAUGUCUGAAGAGAAACACCACCGCGGUCUCUUCCACCACCACAAGGAUGAAGACAAACCCUCAGACUACCCUCAGUCUGGCUACUCUGAUGAAGGACGUCCCGGCGGCCUCGGUGGUGGUUACGGCGACACCAAUGAUUAUUCUGGUGAAGGACGUACCGGCGGCCUAGGUGGUGGCUAUGGCGACACCAAUGCUUAUUCUGGUGAAGGACGUCCCGGCGGCUAUGGCGGCUAUAACGAGACCACUGCUUACUCUGAGGAAAGAGUUGAAAGACCCGGCGGUGGCCGGUACAGUGAGACUACUGCGGCAUAUGGCAGCACCACCACUCAUGAAUCUGAACUUGAUUACAAGAAGGAGGAGAAGCACCACAAGCAUCUCGAGCACCUCGGCGAGGCCGGUGUAGCUGCUGCCGGCGCUUUUGCCUUGGUACGUAUUGUAUUUUAACCCACCUCUAUAUAUAUAUAUAUUAGAAUAAUGCUAAUAAGACCAAAUUUUGAAAACUAAAUGAUGUGGUUGUUGAUAAUGAACUUAUUACUCAAGUCUUGAUUAACAUGCUUAUUUUCUAAUAGUGACACAUUAUUUGGUUUAGAAAUUUGGUCUUCCUAACUUUAUCAUUCUCAAAAUUUUCAUGAUUUUGAUAGGGUAAUACGGGAGAUCAAAAUUUCUAAACCAAAUUUGCAAACCAAUAGAUGAUUGGAUUAUUAAUUAAGUAUCGAUUGUUUGUUUCUUAUUAACGACAUAUCAUUUGAUUUACAAUUUAGUUAAAAAAAAUUUAUUCUUUCUGUCAUAUCCUUUUGAAUAUUUGAUCACUUUACUCUUUAUCACUUUACCCUUGAUCACUUUACCCAUACUCUUGCAACCGAAUCACCGUCCUCCUCCUUAACCUUCAUUUUUUUGUCUUACAGUACUCCAAUCUAUCAACUCUGUCCAUUGCAACUUUAAUUGUGAAGAAAAUUAAAGUCCUAUCGUAAAAUUAAUUAGUGAUAUGGAGAGUUGCGCAAUUAUUGAUGGACUAGGUAGGUAAGAUACGGAAUCAAAGUCUACCAUUAACAAUGGACGGAAUUGAUGAACCAUAUAGGUAUGUAAGAUACGGAAUCAAAGUCCUCAUGUAAAUGGUACAGUUGCAAUCAGGAGAAGAAAUGAGUUAACUGAUACCUUCGUAAUAGUUCAUGUAGAGUUUUGAUAUUAUUAAGCCUUAACCACCUGAUCUUAUAUAUACGAGGACAAAUCUAAUCAAAUAUGUGUUAAUUUCAAGGUUUGUUUUACAUUGAUGUGAGAUCGAUGCUAGCAAGAUAUAUAACUUAUGUCAGUUUCUAUAUGAUGUGUGUAGCAUGAGAAGCACAAUGAAAAGAAAGACCCAGAGCAUGCCCACAGGCACAAGAUAGAAGAGGAGAUUGCUGCAGCAGCUGCAGUUGGUUCGGGUGGAUUUGCCUUCCAUGAGCAUCAUGAGAAGAAAGAGACAAAGGAAGAAGAGGAAGAGG